GGUGCAGAAGGCGCAGCCCGCCCCCUCCUCCGCCCCGGGUCUCCGCCAGCCUCCCCACCUGCCGGCCGGUCUCUACCCCUGCGGGAGCUGCGAUCCCUUUGCCUUCUUUGCGUAAAGCAUGUCAGGCUCUGGGCGAAAAGACUUCGAUGUGAAGCACAUCCUGCGCCUCCGCUGGAAACUCUUCAGCCACCCGUCGCCGUCCGCCGGGGGCCCCGCGGGGGGCGGCUGCCUGCAGCAGGACGGCAGCGGCAGCUUCGAGCACUGGGGCCCCAGCCAGAGCCGCCUGCUCAAGAGCCAAGAGAGAGGCGGUGUGAGCACUUUCUGGAAGAAGCCUUCCUCUUCCUCCUCUUCGUCGUCUUCCCCGUCCUCUUCUUCUUCUUCCUUCAAUCCGCUGAAUGGCACCCUGCUCCCAGUUGCCACGAGGCUGCAGCCGGGGGCUCCCGGGCAGGGCACCCCGCAGCCAGCGAGGACCCUCUUCUACGUGGAGUCCCUAGAGGAGGAGGUGGUGCCAGGCAUGGACUUUCCUGGACCACACGAGAAAGGACUGGUCCUGCAAGAGCUCAAAGUGGAGCCGGCCAACUCGAGCCAGGCAACAGGUGAAGGAUGUGGACACAGGUACAGUAAGUCUCCAGGGGGCUUCAAGCAUCUCCCAGUUUCCAUUCGUCUCUCCCCUUGUGCUCUUGUAGUUAUUAAGUCUAAAACGUUUCGGGUUGAAAAUGUCGGUGAAGAGAUGCCAGCCUGGUUUGUAUUACCCAAGUUAUAA